rnacentral:misc_RNA from 1 species
UCUUCAGAUGAUGAUCCCAAGCCUUCUGGCGAUCUCUUAUAAAGAAAGCCCUCCAUAAUAGAUUGAAAAGGGUCCUUUGGGGAAAAGUUUUCCCUUUGAUAAGAUGAAGCCGGGGAAGGUUUUCCGGUUUAUCCCGGAGGGCUUGUAGCUCAGUUGGUUAGAGCGCGCGCUUGAUAAGCGUGAGGUCGGAGGUUCAAGUCCUCCCAGGCCCACCAAUCAUUCUAUCAAUCUAUAAGCGCUUGUGGAAAUUGCUCAUAGAAAACUUUCUUUAUUCAUUUAUGAAAAAUCUCCUUAUAGAGAUAGAGAGAGACGCUUUUCCCUUUGGGUUUGAAAACUCAAGAUUACAGGUGUUAAAGUGGCUUUAAAGGAAAAGUGACAAAGAAUAAGGAAUAACGAUUUAAGUUAUCCCUUUUUGGUGAUCUUGAUUUGGGUGUUUUGAAUGCGUUAUGUUUUUUAGGGGGGCCGUAGCUCAGCUGGGAGAGCACCUGCUUUGCAAGCAGGGGG